rnacentral:rRNA from 1 species
UACGAAGGGGACUAGCGUUGUUCGGAUUUACUGGGCGUAAAGGGCGCGUAGGCGGUUCGCUAAGUCAGGGGUGAAAUCCCAGGGCUCAACCCUGGAACUGCCUUUGAUACUGACGAUCUGGAGAUCGGGAGAGGUUGGUGGAAUUCCGAGUGUAGAGGUGAAAUUCGUAGAUAUUCGGAGGAACACCAGAAGCGAAAGCGGCCAACUGGACCGAUACUGACGCUGAGGCGCGAAAGCGUGGGGAGCAAACAGG